CCUACGGGAGGCAGCAGUAGGGAAUUUUCCACAAUGGGCGAAAGCCUGAUGGAGCAAUACCGCGUGCAGGAUGAAGGCCUUCGGGUCGUAAACUGCUUUUAUGUGCGAAGAAUUUGACGGUAACACAUGAAUAAGGAUCGGCUAACUACGUGCCAGCAGCCGCGGUCAUACGUAGGAUCCAAGCGUUAUCCGGAAUUACUGGGCGUAAAGAGUUGCGUAGGUGGCAUUAUAAGUGGAGCGUGAAAGCGUGCGGCUCAACCGCAUUAUUGCGUUCCAAACUGUGAAGCUUGAGUAUGGGAGAGGUAGAUGGAAUUUCUAGUGUAGGAGUGAAAUCCGUAGAUAUUAGAAGGAACACCGAUGGCGUAGGCAGUCUACUGGCCCAUUACUGACACUAAGGCACGAAAGCGUGGGGAGCAAACGGGAUUAGAUACCCCGGUAGUCCACGCUGUAAACUAUGGAUGCUAGCUGUGACACACAUCAACCUGUGUCGUAGCGAAGUUAACGCGUUAAGCAUCCCGCCUGGGGAGUACGGUCGCAAGAUUAAAACUUAAAUGAAUUGACGG
rnacentral:rRNA from 1 species